rnacentral:rRNA from 1 species
CAGCCGCCGCGGUAAUACCGGCGGCCCGAGUGGCGGUCACUAUUAUUGGGCUUAAAGCGUCCGUAGCCGGGUUGGGAAGUCCUCCGGGAAAUCUGGCCGCUUAACGGUCAGAAUGCCGGAGGAUACUCCCAGCCUAGGGAGCGGGAGAGGCCGAGGGGAUUCCCGGGGUAGGGGGGAAAUCCUAUAAUCCCGGGAGGACCACCUGUGGCGAAGGCGCUCGGCUGGAACGCGUCCGACGGUGAGGGACGAAGGCCAGGGGAGCAAACCGGAUUAGAUACCCGGGUAGUCCUGGCUGUAAACGAUGCGGACUUUGUGUCGGACAAGCUAUGAGCUUGUCCGGUGCCGGAGGGAAACCGUUAAGUCCGCCGCCUGGGGAGUACGGCCGCAAGGUUGAAACUUAAAGGAAUUGGCGGG